AAUAAGGAUCGGCUAACUCCGUGCCAGCAGCCGCGGUAAUACGGAGGAUUCAAGCGUUAUCCGGAUUUAUUGGGUUUAAAGGGUGCGUAGGCGGUUUGAUAAGUUAGAGGUGAAAUUUCGGGGCUCAACCCUGAACGUGCCUCUAAUACUGUUGAGCUAGAGAGUAGUUGCGGUAGGCGGAAUGUAUGGUGUAGCGGUGAAAUGCUUAGAGAUCAUACAGAACACCGAUUGCGAAGGCAGCUUACCAAACUAUAUCUGACGUUGAGGCACGAAAGCGUGGGGAGCAAACAGGAUUAGAUACCCUGGUAGUCCACGCAGUAAACGAUGAUAACUCGUUGUCGGCGAUACACAGUCGGUGACUAAGCGAAAGCGAUAAGUUAUCCACCUGGGGAGUACGUUCGCAAGAAUGAAACUCAAAGGAAUUGACGGGGGCCCGCACAAGCGGAGGAACAUGUGGUUUAAUUCGAUGAUACGCGAGGAACCUUACCCGGGCUUGAAAGUUACUGACGAUUCUGGAAACAGGAUUUCCCUUUGGGGCAGGAAACUAGGUGCUGCAUGGUUGUCGUCAGCUCGUGCCGUGAGGUGUCGGGUUAAGUCCCAUAACGAGCGCAACCCCUACCGUUAGUUGCCAUCAGGUGAAGCUGGGCACUCUGGCGGGACUGCCGGUGUAAGCCGAGAGGAAGGUGGGGAUGACGUCAAAUCAGCACGGCCCUUACGUCCGGGGCUACACACGUGUUACAAUGGUAGGUACAGAGGGCAGCUACCCAGCGAUGGGAUGCGAAUCUCGAAAGCCUAUCUCAGUUCGGAUUGGAGGCUGAAACCCGCCUCCAUGAAGUUGGAUUCGCUAGUAAUCGCGCAUCAGCCAUGGCGCGGUGAAUACGUUCCCGGGCCUUGUACACACCGCCCGUCAAGCCAUGGGAG
rnacentral:rRNA from 1 species